UACGUAGGUGGCAAGCGUUGUCCGGAUUUACUGGGCGUAAAGAGCGCGCAGGCGGUCGUCCAAGUCGCGUGUGAAAGCCCCCGGCUCAACUGGGGAGGGUCACGCGAUACUGGUCGACUCGAAGGCAGGAGAGGGUAGUGGAAUUCCCGGUGUAGUGGUGAAAUUCGUAGAUAUCGGGUGGAACACCUGUGGCGAAGGCGGCCAUCUGGACGUUCACUGACGCUGAGACGCGAAAGCGUGGGUAGCAAACAGG
rnacentral:rRNA from 1 species